UUUCUGCUUCCUGUUCUUCGUUCUUUCGAUAUUAUGUCUUAUAAUCAUCAUUAGCUCCUUACAAUCGCUCUUCUCUUUCUAUGCAGCCGGAAACACACUUCAGGCAUCCCUACGCCAAUUCAACAUCGGAAGUCCGCCUUCUCGAAACACACCUAUCAUGCUACGAGUGUUUAGGUAUCUAGACCCCCAUCUCAGCAGCUUGUCAGUGUUUCAUCACCCCCUCCCCCGCUUUCCUUCACGAGAGCAAACGGUAACUUUAACUGUGACAAACGCCUGGGGGUCACUGUACUAUUUGGAUGGAUGUGAAGUUGAUGUAUAGAUGAAGGAUGAUAACUGUAAAACGGCUGCGAUGGACUUUCUUCACGACGUGUCUACUCGUUAAAGAUGCCCUCACUUCUCCGGGUAGGUGAGAAUGGAGACCAGUCAGGCCAAUUGAUAGGUCAUCUGCUCUCCCGCCGCCAACAGCAUCCGACAUUUGGCAGAGUCUUCGAAGAAGUUCAUGCAGAUAUGAGAUAUUUCAACAGGUAAACAGUGGAAUAUCGUCUGCUCAAUCAACCCAGGAAGCCUUUCAUAGUUACAUUUUUAUAGGCGCAAUUCUUCAUCUCGUCUU
rnacentral:lncRNA from 1 species